rnacentral:lncRNA from 1 species
GGUUAGAUUUCAACCCAAUUCAUUUAAAUCCGACUCAUGCGGGUUGAACCUGUGGUGGACCGGUUUGGCCCGCCAAUCCACCUACCUAAUUUUAUUUUUUUAAUUUAUUAUUUUAUUUAUGAAACCCUAAAAAAUAAAAUACUCUCUUCACUAACUCUGUGUAUAAAAAAAAGUAAUCCCUGCUCUCACAAAUCACUCCCACAAAACUUGCUCUCAUUUACGGUGAUGUUACUCUCACUUCUUC